rnacentral:rRNA from 1 species
AUGUCGAAUGUGUCGAUACAUAUAUACUUGCGGCAACUACUAACUGAAAUUUAUUUUUCACCUACAAAAAUAUAUAGAAUCUUCGUCCAUGUUUUCAUGUCGAUACCUGAUUUACAUGUCCAUACAGUUGGGCUGUUCGAGCUAACACUGCAAGGCCUUACAGUGCAUCAGGGGCAUCUAAUAAAGUUUUUAAGUUUGUGCCUAGAACUAUUAUAUCCAGACAAGAUACUUGCUUGCAGAACCAUCAGAGCUGGACCUUCAAGUUAUAGAGAAGAGUUAGAGUUGGAUGGAGUAUCAAACAAUGGAAUCAAAUCAUGCAUGGAAUUUGACAGUAGGGGCAGCGAGUCACGUAUUGAUGUGGAGCAUCCUAUGGUCAUCCCCAUGGACCUACCAUCGUCUCACGAAGUGCCAAGAGGACCUAUGACUCGAGCUAGAGCUAGAGCUCUCGAGACCGAGGUGACUUCUCUCCUUAGUGAUAUUGCAUAUGAUCCCCUAGAGACAUGGCUACUACCUAAAUUCGAGAUGUUGUGCAUGAUCAGGUACCAAGAGGACCCUCCCGAAGAUGCACGUGAAGAUGGACAAGCCGCCAAGUCCAAGGAUGAAGAGGAACGUCGAAAGGAGAAGAAGGCAGCUCCACGACCCGAACAUCCGGCCCCGAGCCCGGACAUCCGGCCGCUGGAGACAUCAACUACAGCAGCAUUCCAGCCGCCAAGCAUCUACAGGCCCCGGACAUCCGGCCCGGCCCGGAAAUCCGGCCCCAACGCCCGGAUAUCCGGACAAGCUGCAUACACAGGACAGAUGAAAAGCCCGUCAGCCCGGACAUUCGGCUUCUCCCGAAAGCCCGGACAUCCGGCCCGACGCCCAGACGUCCGGCCCCGUCUGUCUACGCACAGUAAAGGGCCGAGGCCCAUGUACUCUUUCGCCCCUCCCCCCUAG